rnacentral:lncRNA from 1 species
UAGUGGGAAUUCUCUCGUUCCCUGGUCAAAGACUUGGUUGGAUGCGGGAUCUACUCCACGAGGAGCGGUACAUACGUAGAUGAUAUCAUCACGACCCCUCUUUUCGUACCGCUAGGGAUGCUUAACGCCACUUCGCCAACUGGCGUUACCUGCGCUUUCGUGUCUCUCAGUGUGGUCAGCACUGGGUGUUUCCGAGCAGCGAGGCUUACACCCAUUCGCAUUAGUUCAUCCAAGGUUCCUUACCCUUAUGCACGAAUUAUUGAAUAAGCCAUCUUCCUAUCAAGGUUAAGGAGUCAACUGAGCAUCUCAGCGGCGGGAUUGAAUACCCGGAUCGAAUCAGAGUUCACGCCGCCCGCCCUGAACAAAUAGGAGGCGUGGGCCACAGGUCGCACAUAAGCCGCCGGGUCGCACG